GGUUAAGCGACUAAGCGUACACGGUGGAUGCCCUGGCAGUCAGAGGCGAUGAAGGACGUGCUAAUCUGCGAAAAGCGUCGGUAAGGUGAUAUGAACCGUUAUAACCGGCGAUGUCCGAAUGGGGAAACCCAGUGUGAUUCGUCACACUAUCGUUAACUGAAUACAUAGGUUAACGAGGCGAACCGGGGGAACUGAAACAUCUAAGUACCCCGAGGAAAAGAAAUCAACCGAGAUUCCCCCAGUAGCGGCGAGCGAACGGGGAGCAGCCCAGAGUCUGAAUCAGCUUGUGUGUUAGUGGAACGGUCUGGAAAGUCCGACGGUACAGGGUGAUAGUCCCGUACACCAAAAUGCACAGGCUGUGAACUCGAAGAGUAGGGCGGGACACGUGGUAUCCUGUCUGAAUAUGGGGGGACCAUCCUCCAAGGCUAAAUACUCCUGACUGACCGAUAGUGAACCAGUACCGUGAGGGAAAGGCGAAAAGAACCCCGGCGAGGGGAGUGAAAAAGAACCUGAAACCGUGUACGUACAAGCAGUGGGAGCACCUUCGGGUGUGACUGCGUACCUUUUGUAUAAUGGGUCAGCGACUUAUAUUCUGUAGCAAGGUUAACCGUAUAGGGGAGCCGCAGGGAAACCGAGUCUUAACUGGGCGUUAAGUUGCAGGGUAUAGACCCGAAACCCGGUGAUCUAGCCAUGGGCAGGUUGAAGGUUGGGUAACACUAACUGGAGGACCGAACCGACUAAUGUUGAAAAAUUAGCGGAUGACUUGUGGCUGGGGGUGAAAGGCCAAUCAAACCGGGAGAUAGCUGGUUCUCCCCGAAAGCUAUUUAGGUAGCGCCUCGUGAACUCAUCUUCGGGGGUAGAGCACUGUUUCGGCUAGGGGGUCAUCCCGACUUACCAACCCGAUGCAAACUACGAAUACCGAAGAAUGUUAUCACGGGAGACACACGGCGGGUGCUAACGUCCGUCGUGAAGAGGGAAACAACCCAGACCGCCAGCUAAGGUCCCAAAGUCAUGGUUAAGUGGGAAACGAUGUGGGAAGGCACAGACAGCCAGGAUGUUGGCUUAGAAGCAGCCAUCAUUUAAAGAAAGCGUAAUAGCUCACUGGUCGAGUCGGCCUGCGCGGAAGAUGUAACGGGGCUAAACCAUGCACCGAAGCUGCGGCAGCGACGCUUAUGCGUUGUUGGGUAGGGGAGCGUUCUGUAAGCCUGCGAAGGUGGCCUGUGAGGGUUGCUGGAGGUAUCAGAAGUGCGAAUGCUGACAUAAGUAACGAUAAAGCGGGUGAAAAGCCCGCUCGCCGGAAGACCAAGGGUUCCUGUCCAACGUUAAUCGGGGCAGGGUGAGUCGACCCCUAAGGCGAGGCCGAAAGGCGUAGUCGAUGGGAAACAGGUUAAUAUUCCUGUACUUGGUGUUACUGCGAAGGGGGGACGGAGAAGGCUAUGUUAGCCGGGCGACGGUUGUCCCGGUUUAAGCAUGUAGGCUGGUUAUCCAGGCAAAUCCGGAUAAUCAAGGCUGAGGUGUGAUGACGAGGCACUACGGUGCUGAAGUAACAAAUGCCCUGCUUCCAGGAAAAGCCUCUAAGCAUCAGGUAACAUCAAAUCGUACCCCAAACCGACACAGGUGGUCAGGUAGAGAAUACCAAGGCGCUUGAGAGAACUCGGGUGAAGGAACUAGGCAAAAUGGUGCCGUAACUUCGGGAGAAGGCACGCUGGUGUGUAGGUGAAGUCCCUGCGGAUGGAGCUGAGACCAGUCGAAGAUACCAGCUGGCUGCAACUGUUUAUUAAAAACACAGCACUGUGCAAACACGAAAGUGGACGUAUACGGUGUGACGCCUGCCCGGUGCCGGAAGGUUAAUUGAUGGGGUUAUCCGUAAGGAGAAGCUCUUGAUCGAAGCCCCGGUAAACGGCGGCCGUAACUAUAACGGUCCUAAGGUAGCGAAAUUCCUUGUCGGGUAAGUUCCGACCUGCACGAAUGGCGUAAUGAUGGCCAGGCUGUCUCCACCCGAGACUCAGUGAAAUUGAACUCGCUGUGAAGAUGCAGUGUACCCGCGGCAAGACGGAAAGACCCCGUGAACCUUUACUAUAGCUUGACACUGAACAUUGAGCCUUGAUGUGUAGGAUAGGUGGGAGGCUUUGAAGCGUGGACGCCAGUCUGCGUGGAGCCAACCUUGAAAUACCACCCUUUAAUGUUUGAUGUUCUAACGUUGGCCCCUUAUCGGGGUUGCGGACAGUGUCUGGUGGGUAGUUUGACUGGGGCGGUCUCCUCCCAAAGCGUAACGGAGGAGCACGAAGGUUAGCUAAUCCUGGUCGGACAUCAGGAGGUUAGUGCAAUGGCAUAAGCUAGCUUGACUGCGAGCGUGACGGCGCGAGCAGGUGCGAAAGCAGGUCAUAGUGAUCCGGUGGUUCUGAAUGGAAGGGCCAUCGCUCAACGGAUAAAAGGUACUCCGGGGAUAACAGGCUGAUACCGCCCAAGAGUUCAUAUCGACGGCGGUGUUUGGCACCUCGAUGUCGGCUCAUCACAUCCUGGGGCUGAAGUAGGUCCCAAGGGUAUGGCUGUUCGCCAUUUAAAGUGGUACGCGAGCUGGGUUUAGAACGUCGUGAGACAGUUCGGUCCCUAUCUGCCGUGGGCGCUGGAGAAUUGAGGGGGGCUGCUCCUAGUACGAGAGGACCGGAGUGGACGCAUCACUGGUGUUCGGGUUGUCAUGCCAAUGGCACUGCCCGGUAGCUAAAUGCGGAAGAGAUAAGUGCUGAAAGCAUCUAAGCACGAAACUUGCCCCGAGAUGAGUUCUCCCUGAGACUUUAAGUCUCCUGAAGGAACGUUGAAGACGACGACGUUGAUAGGCCGGGUGUGUAAGCGCAGCGAUGCGUUGAGCUAACCGGUACUAAUGAACCGUGAGGCUUAACCUU
rnacentral:rRNA from 1 species